UUGGCACACUGAGUCAAUAACCAGUGACAGUUCUAAGGCAGAACAUGAUAAUAACGCUGCAUCAGCUACUCUCCAGAGUCACGCCGGCCCAGAGUUUAGAUCGACCUAGUGGGUUAAACCUGUGUCAGGGCUCCAUCUGUAUGGGUCAGCCUGCGUCAGCUGACCCUCCUCUCGACCAGGGUUAGAAGUAGGUGUUGCUACAAAGAAUGGAAAUAACUUCAGUGAUAUUGAUGUUUGAAUGUCAUUUAACUGAGUCGCCGGGAGAAAGUGAGGAAGAGAGAAAGAGAGAAAUAGAAAGCGUAUGUAUGGGUGAUCAAGAGAGAGGGAGCGCGCAUAUGGACACACAAGGGAGAUGGAACCAAAACUUACCUUUUAUCCGGUAAUUAUUAAAUGUAAUUCAGUAUAAUUCUCAGGUUUAUCAGUGAAGUGUAUGAACCUCACAGCAGACUGGAGCUGUCUCAUGAAUGGAUCCAUCACUGGUUGGAAUGCGCUUUGAGUAGACCCAUGUCACAUGCACGACUGCUGUCUGAAAGUUUAGACAAAAAUUAGACAGACUUCAGAGCUAAGAGUGAUCAGAGAGAUAACUACAGUAAAACUAGAUUCCCCUUUGAAGCAGUCCGUAGUCAGAAUCAGCAUUAGCUAUAUUGGCCCAGUAUGUCUACGCAUACAAGGGAAUCUGACUCAGUUUCUAGUGGUUCUCAGUGUGCCUUCACACAACAAUCUUCAGAAAUAUACACAUGGACAACAAGCUUAACAAAGGAUUGGCAGGUUUUCCUUAGAUUACUGUGCCCAUUGGACCAUUCUUCUUUCGAGUACUGCUGUGAUUGGCUGGUUCAGUCUAGGAGUCCUGUGAUUUCAGUCCUCUGUCAUUGCCACAUGGAAAGCAAACGAUGGACUCCAUCCCAAACUUCUGUCUGCAGUCCAGGUCCAGUGUGAGGGCUUCCACUGAGGCGGCUGCAUUUGCCUGCCGGCCAAACAGUGCUGCCACAACCAUGGAUGAUGCCAAGGCCCGUGCCAUGACUGGUGGGGGAGACUGCAGUGACACCAAACUGGUUCUCAGCCAGUAUGAGAUGCAGUUUGGCAAGUACAGAGGGCAGUCCUUCCACUGGCUGCUAAGCAACAACGUGGGAUAUAUCGUCAUGAUCCUGGCAGUACACCAGCAGAAGCAUGGGCCCACGGAACCAGCCCCAUUAUGCUUAAUAAGGACUCUCUGUCCCGGUACGCCAAGCUGUUUCCCUGUGCUGUGGCUGCUGUCCAGCAGGGGAGGUAUGUGUGUGCGUUUGUGUGUGUGUGUUUUCAGCUUCCUCUUCAGAAGAGGAGGAUGACAAAAUGCUGAUAGCAGCUGCCAUAGAAAUGGAGCAGUCCUAUAACUCUAAUUCUUCAGGUGAUGACAUCAGAAUCACUUUUAAUGUAAUGUUAUAAAUAAUAAAUACACAAUACAAUUUGGGCGGGUGCACAUUCAACACAUUUUUGUUUCUGCACAUUCAACACAUUUUUAUUUCCUGUGUACCCAUCUAACUGUUGUGCCAAAUGUCUUUAUUGGCUAUAACAGGAUGCAGUAAGAAAAGCACGUGAGUUAGUGAGUUAUUUUUCCUUCCUCUGUGCAUUGUAUAGAACUCAGCUGACAGGCUUUUAACAAGAUCCAAGAGAAGUGAGCAUAUCAUGCUUGUUUUAGCCUCCUUGCACUUGCUCCUAGUAUGUUUUAGAAUUGAUCUUACUGUUGACUUUAAAGGCUCUUCAUGGUCUCUCUCCGUGCUAUAUAUCUGACUUCUUCGUCGCAUAUGAGCCAGCACGUAGCCUGAGAUCCUCGGGCAGAGGUCUUUUAUCUGUUCCUGGGACGUAGCUGAAAACAAGAGGUGACAGAGCAUUUGCAGUCAGAGCCCCGGAGCUAUGGAACGAGCUGCCUGAGGAAAUCAGGUCAGCAGAAUCAGUGACCUCUUUUAAAUCUCUUCUUAAAACAUAUUUUAUCAGGGAGCUUUUCCUGAUUUUACUUGAUUUUUAUUGACUGCCCUUUUGCUGGCGACGCCGUUAUUGGUUUUAUUUGUUUUAUUUGCUUACUUUGUUUUAAUGAUCUGCUUGUGUUGAAGUUGUUGCCUUGUGUAACGUGGGUUUAGAAAAUUGCCUAUAAAUAAAGAUUAUUAUUGUUAUUAACCAGUAGGCUUCUGGGGCACCACUGCCAUUCU